CCGUCGAUAGCUCAGUUGGCAGAGCGGUGGACUGUAGAUCCAUAGGUCGCUGGUUCGACUCCGGCUUGACGGA
rnacentral:tRNA from 1 species